GGCGGAUGUUGCUUUACUGUUAACGCUCAUGGCUUUGUGAACCUACAUUGGCAUUUGACAUCCAAACGCGGCGAAUCUGACGUGUACGUGCAGCUCCAUGUAAUUUGUAUAAAGGGAGGUUGUAAGCGAGAAAACGGGCGUUUCUCGUCUAUCCUCAGUCUUCGGAAUCGGAGAAAAGUCAUGGUUCAGAGAGAAGCGGAUUGUGUGGAGAGUGACAGUUUGGAACGAGUAUGAUCUGGAAUUUUCCGGUUCGGCCACUGUACAUGUGAUGGAUGAGUGUUCUUUGGCCAGGUUUUUUUUUCUUCCUGUGAUGUUGUCUGAGUUUGAAGUCUGCUGUGGAAUGCUGCCUGAGCUGGAUGUGGAUUGAUCCAAGUGUGAAUUCCUCUGAUUCGUCUCAACUCUCUCCUGCAUUUUCUGUAUGCACCUGGGUGGGGUUGGACUGGCGAGCCACCAGUGAAUUCUCAGAACUUCUUAUGAGCUUGAAUGUGGUUGCCGUCAAACGGUAGGAGUGAAGGUGCACAACAACCUUUUUUAUUUUUGUCCUAAAUCUGGAUCAAGCACUGGUUGUUUUUUUUGUUGUUGUCAUUGGUAACAAAAAAUCUCGAGGUCUUUCAUUUUAUAGUGAAUGACUCUUUCACUGGUUUACUGGCUAUCCAGAUUUGAUUUUGAUAACGUGAUUGUAAUGCUUUAACCUUCCUCUUAUGUUAGCUUUCUGUAAAUAUCUCUUAUGUUAAUGGGGUUUUGACCCGUGACAUUAAUCAAUCAUAAAAUAGCCUCAAAGCAAUUAUUCAUCAUCCGAUUUGUUUCUUACCUCUUAGAUAACAUAUUAGGCUAUCUUAUCCAUGUUCAUUGGUGUGGCCCCUGGCUCUUUCUUUUGACAGAAUACUUUUUAUUUUCAAUCCCAAAAAAUGGUAAAAUGAACCUUAAGAGAAUUUCAUAACUAAAUGAAAGGUUCUCCUACCUGACUAUUACUGAGGGGUAUUAGGACACAUCACUUAAAUGAAUUUGUUUUAGAUAAUUUUUUGCUUUAAUAUUAUUAACUAUAGUAACAUCUAUGGUGUUACAGGUCCAUUUUGACCCAUAUAUUUUUAGUUCACAAAGUGUUGUUUAUUUGUUUGUUUGUUUGUUUGUUUGUUCCAAAAAUAGAACAUUAAUACAAAAACAAAAUGAAAAGCAAAACAAGUAAUACAAAAUGUAGAAUUGCAAGGAUCAACACACAACAACUAAUCAAGCAAAUCAAGCAUUACUUCUUAUUCCAAAAAAAGUCUGUGUGCAAAAACGUGCAUGAGUAUGUGUAUGAGUUUAGAUGUAUGUGUGGCAAAAAGUGACACUUUUAGUGUGUUCUUUGCAGAGAUAUAUUUUGCAGUAGAAGCACAAUAUAUUUGUCUUUCUGUCCUUAUUGCUAGGGCAGACCUGACACCGCUUUCUUUUAGAAUCAAGUGGCCUCAGUGGGGUUGUGGCUGUGCUGGUUAAGGUUGAGACAGGGCUGGCUGUGGAGGAUGCAGGCACUGAUGCUCUUUGUGUUGCUGAUGGCGUGGAUGGGGUGCUAAGUGAACUCUGUGGCUGUCUGACCAAGGCUGCGGUGCGACAGCUGGGUCUCGGGGCACUCGUUCCCUUCGCUCAAUGUGUGCCUUGACAAGGGAACUUCCUAGCUCCUCAAGAAACAUUCUUCGCUUGUUUUUUUUUGGUUGAGUUCCACCCUACUGUAGGUGAAUGUGGGUCUACAACACAAAUGCAUUGUAUGCAGACACAUCUAGCAUGUUAUAAAACACAACCAUUGGCCAUCUCCUGGUCAUUCUCUGGCAAGUGUAGGUGGCAGUCAGCUUGUCCAAGUUGUCCACUCCUCCUUUAUUUUUAUUAUAGUCCAGUAUUAGUAUGGGCUUUUUGUCACUUCCUGAUGACACAGCUGCAUCUUUGUAGAAAGUGGACAUAAGUACGACAAUCCGCGUUUCCUUUUGAGAAGAUCUUGCCCAGGGUCAUAGCUGGUAAAAGAAAUUGUCACACAUGAUGUUGUGACCCCUCAGUCCAUUAGUCAUAUCAAGGACUACACGUUUUCCUUGUUUUUUUUUCAGGGAUGCCACUCGCAGGUUUGCCUGUGUAAAUCUGUAGAUUCCAUGCAUAGCUGGAUUUGCAUCACAGGCUGCCCAGAUAUUUAUGCCGUAUUUGCCUGGCUUUCUGGGCAAGUAUUGCUGGACGGGGCAUUUUCCACGGAAAGGGACAAAACGUUCAUCUACUGUCUACUGUCGCCUCUGGCCCUGGAUUGAAUAUCAGUGGAAGGAGCUGCACCAUCUCUUCCAGACAUCCUUAAUGGGAGCAAUUCAGAUUUUGCUCUAGUAUCUCUGUUGUCAAAUCUGAGAACUCUUAAUAUCAUUCGAAAUUUCUGAAGUGACAUUGUUGCCAGGAAGAUAUUUCUGCCUGUCAACGCGUCCCGGAGACUAUCACUAGACUUGUAGCCUGCCAUGUAAGUCAGGAGAUACUGAGCUCCAGUACUGUAGAUGUUACCACUUUUGGAUUUGAAUGUUUCAGCAGGAGUGGGAGCAGCUUCAGCACCGGCACUAACUAUUGUAUUACAAUCUUAUAUUAUAACUGGGUUAAAACCGACCCUAACAACACACAGGUCAUAAUUUUCACCAGAGCAUUUUAUAAUUUAGAAAAAAUUAUUUUUUUAUUUUGCUCAAAUUGUUCAAGUUUAAAAUGAUUAAAUUGAAAAUUACACAUUUUACUGGUUUACAAAAUAUUAACUUUGCAGCCCUAGGAAUGGAAACCCUGAAGGAAUCUUGAUUUGAUCUUGCAAAGUAAAAAGAAAAGUAGAGGCAUGUCAACUGUUGAAUGAACUUUUAAUGUUAUAGGUAAGUGUCACAUUUCAACAGUACAGUGAUUUAGCUGUAAUGU